rnacentral:rRNA from 1 species
AACCUGGUUGAUCCUGCCAGUAGUCAUAUGCUUGUCUCAAAGACUAAGCCAUGCAUGUGCAAGUAUAAACGCUUGAACCGUGAGACUGCGAAUGGCUCAUUAAAUCAGUUAUAGUUUAUUUGAUGGUGUUCCCACUACGUGGAUAACCGUGGUAACGUAGAGCUAAUACAUGCCGAAGGCCUCGACUCCGUGUUCGCGGGGAAGGGGCGUAUUUAUUAGAUCCAAAACCAACCUGGGUGUAGUCCUCGCGGCUCUCCCAGCUUACUGCUUGGUGAUUCAUGGUAACUGUUCGAAUCGCCUGGCCUUCGCGCCGGCGAUGGUUCAUUCAAGUUUCUGCCUUAUCAACUUUCGAUGGUAGGGUAUUGGCCUACCAUGGUUGCAACGGGUGACGGAGAAUUAGGGUUCGAUUCCGGAGAGGGAGCCUGAGAAACGGCUACCACAUCUAAGGAGGGCAGCAGGCGCGCAAAUUACCCAAUCCCGACUCGGGGAGGUAGUGACAAUAAAUAACAAUGCCGGUCCCCAAAGCGGUCCGGCAAUUGGAAUGAGUCCAAUCCAAACCCCUUAACGAGGAACAAUUGGGGGGCAAGUCUGGUGCCAGCAGCCGCGGUAAUUCCAGCUCCAAUAGCGUAUAUUAAAGUUGUUGCAGUUAAAAAGCUCGUAGUUGGAUUUCGGGGCCCGCGACCGUUCCCGGCGCGUGGGGUCGUUCUCGUCCAGUUCGCUGGUCCUGGCGUCUCCGUCGCUGGCGUGCGGGGUGCUCGGCCGGCGCGGUCCGCCGAGAGGCGAGCACUGCCCGGCGGCUCCCUUGUGCUCUCGGAGGCUCCGUCUGCUCUUGAUUGCAGCGGUCGGGGAGUUCGGGACGUUUACUUUGAACAAAUUGGAGUGUUCCAAGCAGGCCGGUCGCUUUGAAUACGUUAGCAUGGAAUAAUGGAAUAGGGCUGUGUUUUUGUCCUAUUUUGUUGGUUUUCGGGACGGCAGUCAUGGUCGAUAGGGACAGUUGGGGGCAUUCGUAUUCAGUUGUCAGAGGUGAAAUUCUCGGAUUUACGGAAGACGAUCGAGUGCGAAAGCAUUUGCCAAGGAUGUUUUCAUUAAUCAAGAACGAAAGUUGGGGGUUCGAAGACGAUCAGAUACCGUCGUAGUCCCAACCAUAAACGGUGCCGGCUAGGGAUCGGCGGACGUCGGGUGCGACUCCGUCGGCACCUUUGGAGAAAUCAAAGCCUUUGGGUUCCGGGGGGAGUAUGGUCGCAAGGCUGAAACUUAAAGGAAUUGACGGAAGGGCACCACCAGGAGUGGAGCCUGCGGCUUAAUUUGACUCAACGCGGGGAACCUCACCAGGUCCGGACAUGGGAAGGAUUGACAGAUCGAGAGCUCUUUCUUGAUUCUAUGGGUGGUGGUGCAUGGGCCGUUCUUAGUUGGUGGAGUGAUUUGUCUGGUUGAUUCCGUUAACGAACGAGACCUUAACCUGCUAACUAGUCGUGCCGUUUCCGAACGGCGGGCGGUUUGUCCGGCUCGGGGUUCCGCGGUGUUCCUGGCAGUUGCGGGACGUCGUUGUCGGUUUCCGUCCCGGCUUGCAGCCAGGCGACUUCUUAGAGGGACACUCGGCGUUUCAGCCGGGGGAGGAGUGAGGCAAUAACAGGUCUGUGAUGCCCUUAGAUGUUCUGGGCCGCACGCGCGCUACGCUGACGGAGGCAGCGAGCGUGUCCUUCGCCGGGAGGUGCGGGCAAUCUUGCGAGUCUCCGUCGUGCUGGGGAUAGAUGGUUGCAAUUGUCGAUCUUGAACGAGGAAUUCCUAGUAAGCGCGAGUCAUCAGCUCGCGCUGAUUACGUCCCUGCCCUUUGUACACACCGCCCGUCGCUACUACCGAUUGGACGGUUUAGUGAGAACUUCGGAUUGGAGCCUUGGCGUCCGGCGACGGUCGCCCGGGAUUUGUCCGAGAAGUCGUUCUAAUUGCGUCGUCUAGAGGAAGUAAGAGUCGUAACAAGGUUUCCAUAGGUGAACCUGCAGAAGGAUCA